rnacentral:other from 1 species
UACAAGCUGCGAUGUACGUAAUGAUAUAAGUUUUAACCUUUAUGCUGUACAAGGGAGUUUUACAUUGUAACUGAAAUGUCAUGCCUCCAUUGUUGUGGAAGACAGGAAAGUUACUGCGAACACCCACUUUGAGGAGUGGUGGUUUAAAACUUUCUAUCUGACGUUACGGCAUUUGUGGCUUCUCU